rnacentral:rRNA from 1 species
GGCCGCGGCUCUUCCAUUCAGGCCUAACACAUGCAAGUCGAGCGGUAGACAGAACCUUGCUUCUCUUGAGAGCGGCGGACGGGUGAGUAAUGCCUAGGAAUCUGCCUGGUAGUGGGGGAUAACGUUCGGAAACGGACGCUAAUACCGCAUACGUCCUACGGGAGAAAGCAGGGGACCUUCGGGCCUUGCGCUAUCAGAUGAGCCUAGGUCGGAUUAGCUAGUUGGUGAGGUAAUGGCUCACCAAGGCUACGAUCCGUAACUGGUCUGAGAGGAUGAUCAGUCACACUGGAACUGAGACACGGUCCAGACUCCUACGGGAGGCAGCAGUGGGGAUUAUUGGACAAUGGGCGAAAGCCUGAUCCAGCCAUGCCGCGUGUGUGAAGAAGGUCUUCGGAUUGUAAAGCACUUUAAGUUGGGAGGAAGGGCAUUAACCUAAUACGUUAGUGUUUUGACGUUACCGACAGAAUAAGCACCGGCUAACUCUGUGCCAGCAGCCGCGGUAAUACAGAGGGUGCAAGCGUUAAUCGGAAUUACUGGGCGUAAAGCGCGCGUAGGUGGUUUGUUAAGUUGGAUGUGAAAUCCCCGGGCUCAACCUGGGAACUGCAUUCAAAACUGACUGACUAGAGUAUGGUAGAGGGUGGUGGAAUUUCCUGUGUAGCGGUGAAAUGCGUAGAUAUAGGAAGGAACACCAGUGGCGAAGGCGACCACCUGGACUAAUACUGACACUGAGGUGCGAAAAGCGUGGGGAGCAAA